GUGCUCGCCUCGGCAGCAUGCAUACUAAAAUUGGAACGAUACGGAGAAGAUUAGCAUGGUCCCUGCGCAAGGAUGACACGCAAAUUUGUGAAGCGUUCCAUGUUAAA